GGUGGUAAUGCCGGAUGUUCCACAUGAUCGCAUGUGAUUGUGGGAAAGAUUCUAUCGGCGUGGGAUGGGGUCGCGUCCUAUCAGCUUGUUGGUGAGGUAACGGCUCACCAAGGCUUCGACGGGUAGCCGGCCUGAGAGGGCGACCGGCCACAUUGGGACUGAGAUACGGCCCAGACUCCUACGGGAGGCAGCAGUGGGGAAUAUUGCACAAUGGGCGCAAGCCUGAUGCAGCGACGCCGCGUGAGGGAUGGAGGCCUUCGGGUUGUAAACCUCUUUUGUUUGGGAGCAAGCCUUCGGGUGAGUGUACCUUUCGAAUAAGCGCCGGCUAACUACGUGCCAGCAGCCGCGGUAAUACGUAGGGCGCAAGCGUUAUCCGGAUUUAUUGGGCGUAAAGGGCUCGUAGGCGGCUCGUCGCGUCCGGUGUGAAAGUCCAUCGCUUAACGGUGGAUCUGCGCCGGGUACGGGCGGGCUGGAGUGCGGUAGGGGAGACUGGAAUUCCCGGUGUAACGGUGGAAUGUGUAGAUAUCGAAAAAAACA
rnacentral:rRNA from 1 species